AAUGAACGCUGGCGGCAUGCCUUACACAUGCAAGUCGAACGGCAGCAUGACCUAGCUUGCUAGGUUGAUGGCGAGUGGCGAACGGGUGAGUAAUGCAUCGGAACGUGCCUUUUAGUGGGGGAUAACGUAGCGAAAGUUACGCUAAUACCGCAUAUUCUCUGAGGAGGAAAGCAGGGGACCUUCGGGCCUUGCGCUAGAAGAGCGGCCGAUGUCGGAUUAGCUAGUUGGUGAGGUAAAGGCUCACCAAGGCAACGAUCCGUAGCGGGUCUGAGAGGAUGAUCCGCCACACUGGGACUGAGACACGGCCCAGACUCCUACGGGAGGCAGCAGUGGGGAAUUUUGGACAAUGGGCGCAAGCCUGAUCCAGCCAUGCCGCGUGAGUGAAGAAGGCCUUCGGGUUGUGAAGCUCUUUCGGCUGGGAAGAAAUCGCACCCUCUAAUACAGGGUGUGGAUGACGGUACCAGCAUAAGAAGCACCGGCUAACUACGUG
rnacentral:rRNA from 1 species